rnacentral:rRNA from 1 species
GAUGAACGCUGGCGGCGUGCCUAAUACAUGCAAGUCGAGCGAAUGGAUUGAGAGCUUGCUCUUAUGAAGUUAGCGGCGGACGGGUGAGUAACACGUGGGUAACCUGCCCAUAAGACUGGGAUAACUCCGGGAAACCGGGGCUAAUACCGGAUAACAUUUUGAACAGCAUGGUUCGAAAUUGAAAGGCGGCUUCGGCUGUCACUUAUGGAUGGACCCGCGUCGCAUUAGCUAGUUGGUGAGGUAGCGGCUCACCAAGGCAACGAUGCGUAGCCGACCUGAGAGGGUGAUCGGCCACACUGGGACUGAGACACGGCCCAGACUCCUACGGGAGGCAGCAGUAGGGAAUCUUCCGCAAUGGACGAAAGUCUGACGGAGCAACGCCGCGUGAGUGAUGAAGGCUUUCGGGUCGUAAAACUCUGUUGUUAGGGAAGAACAAGUGCUAGUUGAAUAAGCUGGCACCUUGACGGUACCUAACCAGAAAGCCACGGCUAACUACGUGCCAGCCGCCGCCGUAA